rnacentral:rRNA from 1 species
AUUCGACCUCAAAUCAGGUAGGACUACCCGCUGAACUUAAGCAUAUCAAUAAGCGGAGGAAAAGAAACCAACAGGGAUUGCCUUAGUAGCGGCGAGUGAAGCGGCAAAAGCUCAAAUUUGAAAUCUGGCACUUUCAGUGUCCGAGUUGUAAUUUGAAGAAGGUAUCUUUGGGUCUGGCUCUUGUCUAUGUUUCUUGGAACAGAACGUCACAGAGGGUGAGAAUCCCGUGCGAUGAGAUGUCCCAGACCUAUGUAAAGUUCCUUCGAAGAGUCGAGUUGUUUGGGAAUGCAGCUCUAAGUGGGUGGUAAAUUCCAUCUAAAGCUAAAUAUUGGCGAG